AAGUAUAACCUCAGGGAAAUUAAUCGUUAUUAAAAUAACUAUCCUUACACCUGCUAUGGAAUGGGUGAUUGGAUUUCCUUUUAAAAUUCUUGGUUUGUGCUUUGUUAAGUUUUUCAGUUAUGUAAAGAGACUUCAAAUUGUUUUUCCAGCUGGAUAAUCUAAUCUCCAUUUCUCUGCAAAUCAAAGUUUAACCAAUUUUAUAUUGUACAAAUAUCCACAUCCUAUUGCUUGGAGUAUAUCUGGGCUAUUGGAGAAAAUUUUAGUGCUGAUAGUAAAGACUGGAACAGAAAGAUGCACAGUUUUAUGUGCUUAAUUCAAACAUGUCACUUGUUCAAUAAUUUAGAAUAAGGGUCUAUAUAGGGAAAAGUAAAUAUUAUUUAUUCCUCUGUGAGAGUCUUUUAUGGCCAUCACCCUUAUGGUGGCUGAGCUCCAGAAAUCAAUAUUUAUUUCCAGCAUAUUUAAGCUUCUUAUAUAACUAGAACAUUAAGUUUAUAAAGCUAUGUAAAAUAUCUGAUUUUAAGACUCUGACAAGGGUUUAAUGUGUUACAAAUAUAUUUGCAGAGUAAAUGUUAUCCCCUGGUGAAUAAAUUGUGUGAAAACUGUUGCGAGAGGUGAAUACAACACUUUCUAGAAAACACACCCUUUCUUCUAGUUCUGCAAUAGAAAAUAUCAGAGAAUUAAGUACAUCAAAAAGCUUCAUCAUUUCUGCAGAGAUUCAUUGAAAUCUCAGAUUUAAUAUCUAACAUUUGAACCACAAUAUUUUUUUUUCAUUCUUUGAUGCUAUACAGCUGGAAGGAGAGAGAAAUAAUGAAGGAUCAUCUGACUGCUUAUAGAUUUGCUUACUUGGACCAGCCAUUUUCAAAUUGUGUUCCCUGAUGGAUUUAAAGGAGGGAGAGUGGAAAAAAAACCCAAAAGUUUUUAUAUGCAAGAAGACUUAUGGACUAUUUUGUUCCCUUUCUACGAUGAUUUGAAAAGGACAUUAAAGGAUGAAAAUUCAGCUGUUUGAUGGAGAAGAGGCAUCCUUGUGCCUGAGGGCUUAUGCCAACCAACUGGGACUCCAGCCAAGGUGACAGACCAGAAAAAUGAGGUACCAGCUCUGCAGCACCCAUAAGGCAUCAAGGCAGAAUGCCAUUGUUUCAAAAUAUUACAAGUUUGAUCUACGUAUGCUCCAACCCAGAUGUGUGUUGGUUCACAGGAUGCCCCUCAAAACCCUGGAAGUUUGGAGAAGAGCAAAGAAACCUCUCCAUUUCAAUCUAAACAGUUUUUAAGUAGCAAGUCAGAGAUAAAACUCAGAAUUUCCUGCAUAUUUUCACCCUCUCCAUGCCAAUGCAUUUCAGCAGUAGUAUUGAUUAUAGUACAAGUGUUCUGGUCAUGACCUGCUGCUGUUUGUGCUGCACAACAGCUUUCCUUCCUUGCUCCUUGCUCUUGGAAACGUUCACCAUUCAGGCUGAGAUUUUGUUGGUUCUCUCCCUGGGGCUGAAUUUCACUGGCAGGUUUGGGCAAAAGCAUUUGUGCUAUUUGUCAGUGAGGGGACAGGGAAUAAACAAACCACUCUUUUAAUUGCAAAAGUACUGCUUCUGAGCAGUUCCGUUUUUUGGUUUUUGGGGUUUUUUGUCUUUUUUGUUUAAUCUGAACUUCAACAUUUCAGAAGUAAUUUUCUUUUUCCAGUUGCUAAUGGGUAGACACUGAAUUGUAUUCCUGAGGAUUACUGCAGUUUUCUGUAAUUCAUAUUCCUUUUAUGCUGCAAAUUCAUCUGCAUUUAUCUGUGAGGGAAAGAACUGGGAGGGGAAGGUCUUGUCAGAAAAGCAAUGGAGCAAAACUUAGGGUACGUGGGUUUAGUUUCUAACACAGCUGUGCAUGUCUUGAAUGGUCAAGCUGCUUAGGGACAGAUCUUUCAAAAGCACCUCAAGACUUUCCAAGUAUAACUCGUUUGCUUUUUGGAAAACAAAAUCCACAUUUUUUUCCUCAAAGCGUGAUUUCAAGGUCUAUUGGGUAACUCCCAAGGAUGAGGAACGUGUAAAAUUCCAACAAAAUUACUCUGUAAAAACAGAGAGGAUAAUGCUUGCUCUAUUUCUUCUAACUUGAUACUUUUGUGUUUUAUUGUGUUUGCUUAGUACAAUGAAGCUGAGGGCUGAAUGGCAAUCUGCUGAAUAGUGAUGGUGAUACUGUGGACAAAUUUAUACUUCCUAUGCUGCCCAUUUCCAAUUCUGCAGGAACAGGGCACAAAUGGUAAAUUGCUCAAGGGCACCAAAUGUCACAGGAGGAAUAGUCAGCUGAGUACUUCUGCUGAUAACUGAAACUCAGCCAAUUAAAUAAAUAUAAGGGACUGCAUUAAUUAUGGACUUGAUUUAAAUCAUGAGCUUAAAGUUCCAAUUAGGAAAACAUUUGAAAACAUGCUUAAGUCCCAUCAUAGGCCAUAAUUGCAUUUCAGCUUUUCACUAGAAAUUAAUCUGGCAUUAAAAAUUAAAUAUGAAUUAAAGGAUAAUUUAUCUAUAAAAUUCUUUAUCUCCCAAAGUCAAUCUUUCAGUAACUUGUGGAUAUCUGAAAGCAGUUUCUUAUCUGUGAAAUGUUGCACAAUUGUAACUUCAGCAGUCAUAGCCAGAUCAAUUUCUGCAUGUAUACCCAUGUGAAAAAAUAUUUUAAUAUUCACAUUGCUGAGAAAAUGCAGUGUUAUAAAUGAAAAAUAAAACCCAUAUAAGAUUGUUCUGUUAUUUACAUAUUGUAUACUGCAGAGUAUGACUACAGAAAAUUACAUUUCUAGUAAUAAAAGAUAACAUGAAUUAAUAAUUAUUGAUUUUUUUUUUUAUCUUCAUACCAGGAAUUUAAAAUGAAUUCUGAUUAGUCCUGAUUUUGCCUGGUAAUUAAUGGAAAUUAUACUGUAAGUCCACAGGUAUUAGAUCUUGCUGUUCCAUAUGCUUGUCUUCUGAAACAGGUUUGUGCUGCUGCAUAUGCAUUAUUAAAUUCUUUAUUCAGGGAUUUCCAGACAUUUUUAAACAUAUGGGAGGGCAACAGUGUCUAAGUGUUAACUGAGCGGAUUCUGAAUUUGAAUAAUUUAAGUGAUUGAAAUACCUCUGGCACCAUUGUCAGUGAAUUCAGACAACAGCAUGGGGGGUGGGAAAUGUAAUUCUAAGAGAUAAUUAUGAAAAUUCAAAAUAAUGCAUAAACAAUUUCCUACAUUUACCUCAAAAAUUAUACUCCAAACAGUUAAUAAUAUUAAGAUGAUUAAAAUAACUAUUCAGAUAUAUGUGUGCAAGCAACAUAAUUUUCUCAUCCAAUUAAUGCAACCAGCAGUGAUGUUUCUCAUGGUGUUAUUUUCUAUUUGGCUUAAGGUAAGAGUCUUAAUCUUUCAUGUUUAAAAAAACACUGAUUUAAUAUGUAGAAUUCUCUUAUUUAAAAUGCAUGACAUGCUUUUCCUUCUGCAUCAAGCAACUGGGUUCAGGGGAAGAAAGGACACCAUGGACAGAAACUGUUCCUGACACAGUUCUAUGUGCUGUGGGCACUGGAGAAAGGCGCCCCAGGAGGCACUGCUGGUCCUGCAUUUCUCCAGACUUCCAAUGGAUUUAUAAAGGGACUCAAAGGCAUCUUUUAUCCUUCAGGAGACAGAUCUGGGGAGAGGGGCUGGGGUCCAGCUCCUGGUCACUGUGAAGCUUGGGUCCUGGGUAGGGAUGUGUGAAGACUGUCACAUCACAGGGUACCAUUGAAACUGGCUUUUUAUAGCAACCUUUGGAGGCAUAUCUUACACUGGUUUCUAGGCUGACUUCUUUGUAAUAAAUCACAUCUGGUUCAGGGGGAUCACUGUGAGACCUGUUCAAGCACAGGUCAGAAAAAAUCUGAUUUUUGGCAGGUCUGUGAUGGGGGCAGGAGCCCUCCCAGUGGGUUUAGUUGAUAGGACUGGGAUGGCUGUGUUUGUCCCAGGUCAAAAUGAUAAUCCUUGUGAAAUGCUGUCGCAGACAUCUUGUUAUGAAAAU